rnacentral:rRNA from 1 species
UUAUUUUUAAGAGCCGCGGUAUUUCUGACUGUGCAAAGGUAGCAUAAUCGUUAGUUUUUUAAUUGAAAUCUUGUAUGAAUGGUUUGACAAAAAAAAGACUGUCUUUAUUAUUAUUAAUUGAAUUUAACUUUUAAGUGAAAAGGCUUAAAUAAAUUAAAAAGACGAUAAGACCCUAUAAAGCAUUUUAUUGGGGUGAUAAUGGUAAAAUGAUUAAUAACUGUUAAUUUCGUUAAAACAAAAAUAAAUGGAAUGAUCCUAUUUAAAGAUUUAAAGUUUAAGUUACUUUAGGGAUAACAGCGUAAUUUUUUUUGAGAGUUCUUAUCGAGAAAAAAGUUUGCGACCUCGAUGUUGAAUUAAAAUAUCUAUAUAAUUGUAGCAGUUAUAUAAGAAGGUCUGUUCGACCUUUAAAUUUUU